rnacentral:pre_miRNA from 1 species
GGGUAAUCUGCAUCCUGAGGUUUAGAUCAACUUCAUUAUAAUAAUUGUUGUAUCUAGCCCUUGGGAUGCAGAUUACCU